rnacentral:rRNA from 1 species
UACGUAGGGGGCAAGCGUUGUCCGGAAUCAUUGGGCGUAAAGAGCGUGUAGGCGGUUCCGUAAGUCUGCUGUGAAAGUCCAGGGCUCAACCCUGGGAUGCCGGUGGAUACUGCUGGGCUAGAGUACGGAAGAGGCGAGUGGAAUUCCCGGUGUAGCGGUGAAAUGCGCAGAUAUCGGGAGGAACACCUAUUGCGAAGGCAGCUCGCUGGGACGUUACUGACGCCGAGACGCGAAAGCGUGGGGAGCGAACAGG